AUUGAACGCUGGCGGCAGGCCUAACACAUGCAAGUCGAGCGGAGCGGCGGACGGGGGAGGAAUGCCUAGGAAUCGGCCUGGUAGUGUGGGAUAACGUCCGGAAACGGGCGCUAAUACCGCAUACUAUCAGAUGAGCCUAGGUCGAAUUGGCGAGUUGGUGGGGUAAAGGCCUAACAAGGCGACGGUCCGUAACUGGUCUGAGAGGGUGAUCAGUCACACUGGAACUGAGACACGGUCCAGACUCCUACGGUAGGCAGCAGUGGGGAAUAUUGGACAAUGGGCGAAAGCCUGAUCCAGCCAUGCCGCGUGUGUGAAGAAGGUCUUCGGAUUGUAAAGCACUUUAAGUUGGGAGGCGUUACCAACAGAAUAAGCACCGGCUAACUUCGUGUCAGCAGCCGCGGUAAUUC
rnacentral:rRNA from 1 species